AGAAAGAAACGUUGGGCAACCCUAAAAAAACCUAAUAGUAUUUCUGUAAUUAUUUAUUUUUAAUAUUUUUUCUGUAUUAAUUUUCAAUAAUUAUCAAUCUCCUAUUUUUCAUCGAUAUAUCUCAAAUCUUAAUAUAUAAAGGUGGAAAUUCGAUUUGCUAAAUCUAAACCUAUAUAUUUGGGUUAUAAAUCUUAAUAGGUAAGAUUUAAAAAAACUAAUGUUAUAUAAAAUAUGAGUAAUACUACAUAAUUAAAUGUUACUAUGUUAAUGUACUAUAUUUUCUUAUUAUGUAUUAAAUUGAUUUUUCUUUUCACUUUUGAAAUAAUAUCCCGUGCAUCCCACGGGGAAAAAAUGCUAGUGAUUCUAAAAUCAAAAAAGCAUAAUUAUAUAUUUUUUUCCUUUUAGAUAAAGGUAAAGUGGAAUCCAAGAAUUUAUAUCCAUCAUUCAAGUUUUAUUUUAUUUUUAAAAGGUGCUUUUUUUGUAUUAUUUAUUAAAAAUAAUUGGGAUAAAAAAGGUGAUUUUUAAAAAAAAGAAAAUGGCAACGAAAAAACGUCCAGCCAAUUAUAUUGGUUACUGAGUAACCUAUACUCUCGUAUAAUAACUUGCAGAGGAACGUAAAUUAUAUUAAACUAACAAUGUGUGACAAAUUCAAUUUAGCAACCGUUGACAAUAAAAUUCAAACAUGAGUCAAUUGACGUAAGCUCAUUUAGUCUAACUGCUACGUUAUUCAUUGUCAGGACGAAGAUAAAAAGGUGAUUAUUAAAUCAAGGUAAAGUGGGUUACAUCAAAUGAUUAUCAUUAGUGAUUCUAUAAGAGGUAUGUGGUGGUGGUGUUUUCUUUUUUUUUUUCUUUUUUUUUCUAAAAGCAAUAAUAAAUUUCUAGUCAACUUGAGUUUUCGUGUACAAAUUGGACAUGGAAUCAAUGUUUCGUGGGAGAAAUCAUAGCUAACUUGAAGGGAAAUUUUAUGCUACACCUGGUGAAUAUAACCAGGCACCCUAAUUAAUAAGAUUCUACUACGCGUUCAGUUAUGGCCCAAUGAGUUUUUAGAAUAUAAUUAUAAAAUAAAUAAAAAAUGACACAUGUCUAGAAAAGAGUCACCCGGUGAAAAUCACCAGGUGUAGCAUCGUAUUCCCCCUAACUUAAAUCCAUCUUCAAUGUGAAUAAUUAUGGUGGGCCCAUACAAAACGGUUGAUUUGAAUGUUGUUAAAUUUUUUGUGAGACCACUUACGAAAUCACCAAUUAAAUAAUUAGAGGGUGUUUGGCUAAGCUUAUAAGAUCUUAAAAGAAGCUUAUAAGAUAUUUUAGAGCUUAUAAGCUCUUUCAAAGUGUUUGGUAUUUUUUUUAAAAAGAUCUUAAGUUUUUUUAAAAUAAGCUGUUGGAGAACAAAUAAAAUCUUUUUAAAAAAAUACUUCCACCCCACAUUUUUAUUUAAGAUAUUAUUAUGAUUAAAAAUAGGAAAUAAGCUAAUUAUCCAAACACUCUAAAAAUUAAUCAUAAAAAUAAGACGUAACAACUUAUCAGCUUUUAAAAUAUCUUAUCGGACGUGGGAGCUUAUCAGCUGUUUAAAAUAAGCUUAGCCAAACACCCUCUUACACUAGGGCUGAAAUUUGGUGCGAAUUUUUUUAUUUACGUUGAUUUCGAUUCGAUUUUUUCUUGUUAACACCAUCUUUCAAUUCGGAUUUUAGAAAAUCCAACAUUUGAUUCCGAAAUUUUGUUCGAUCGGGAUUCCAAUUUCCCAAAAAAAAUAAAAAAGUAUCCCGAAAAUUGCAUUACUAAUUCUUCAUUUCAUUUUCCAUUUUUUCUCAAACGGAAUUAUAAUUGGUUUUCCGAAAGUGCUAAUUCUGAUCGGUUCAUCUACCUCUAGUUAUAAAGUUGUAUGUAAUAAAAUUAUUUAGUUUUCAAAAAAAUAUUAAAAUUUUUAAAAAUUAAAAAAAAAAAGGACAAUUAUAUUAUAUAAGCGGGAUUGAAUUUCUGCUGGCCACAUGAUAAUUGAGAGUAGCAAGAUCACAUGGUUUUUAUUUGUCUUCUUCACUAAUGCAUGUUUUCUAUUUUAUAAGUGAGUAAAAUUAAUUGGGAUUUUGCAGAAAGCCAGUUGUGCAGACAAUAUUUUGAGGUUAUUGACAUGUCUAUUUAUAUAUGUGAUGUGUCCCCUUUGAGUUAUCACUUAUCACUCAUCUUCAAUCAUAUUAUAAAUAUUUAUACGUUUCUGAUUAAAAUGUGGAUUCAAUUUUCUCACGUAAGUGUUGUGUAUAUCUGUUAGGUUCAUUGUUUCUUGAGACUUGAUUUAAGAGAUAAGUACAUGUGCAUAUCUUGUAUUUUGAGGCAAUGUGUGUUUUAUUUUUUGGUAUUAUUUUUGCUGAAAUAAAUUACAAAUUUCUUGGUAUUAUUUUUUACUUUGGACGAUUUUGAUUCGAAAAUUUGACUUCAAAUUUUUUUUUUCGUUCCGAUUCUAAUUAUUCUACCGCCAUGACAAUUUCUUAAAUGUNNNNNNNNNNNNNNNNNNNNNNNNNNNNNNNNNNNNNNNNNNNNNNNNNNNNNNNNNNNNNNNNNNNNNNNNNNNNNNNNNNNNNNNNNNNNNNNNNNNNNNNNNNNNNNNNNNNNNNNNNNNNNNNNNNNNNNNNNNNNNNNNNNNNNNNNNNNNNNNNNNNNNNNNNNNNNNNNNNNNNNNNNNNNNNNNNNNNNNNNNNNNNNNNNNNNNNNNNNNNNNNNNNNNNNNNNNNNNNNNNNNNNNNNNNNNNNNNNNNNNNNNNNNNNNNNNNNNNNNNNNNNNNNNNNNNNNNNNNNNNNNNNNNNNNNNNNNNNNNNNNNNNNNNNNNNNNNNNNNNNNNNNNNNNNNNNNNNNNNNNNNNNNNNNNNNNNNNNNNNNNNNNNNNNNNNNNNNNNNNNNNNNNNNNNNNNNNNNNNNNNNNNNNNNNNNNNNNNNNNNNNNNNNNNNNNNNNNNNNNNNNNNNNNNNNNNNNNNAUAGCUAUCCUAAAAACAAUUCUACGUCGGCGGGGUACAAUCAGUAUUUGUUUGGAAGAAUGUUCUCUGGAAUCAAACGAUUCCAUGAAAAUCACACCGUAAGGAGUAUGUGUAAGAUGAAAACAAAUAUAUAGGGAAUUUUGAUAAUUACAGAUGAGUGAGGGUGUUUUUUAUAAUUUAGUCUAAAUUCUGGGGGUUUCGUAAUUUACCCAAAAAUAAACCUAAAAAUCUUAUCUUACGAAAACUCCCCUAUUUCAAUAGACAAAAUUGAUACCGUAUGAAUAAAUGUGUAAAACAAUACAUAAUUAAUGGGUAAAUGUAAUUAUUCAAACAUGAGAGACUUUUUGUAAUUUGUCUUUACUUCAGGGGUCACUAAUAAAUUCUUAAAUAUAUAUGACACGUCUUAUUGGGCGGCCCAAAUACCUACUAAUUAAUUUUCAAAUUGGGUCACCAAUUAUGGCCCAAAUAAAUGAUUAAUAUAACGGGCAAAUAUCAUUAAUUAAUAAUAUAAGCUCAUUAGAUUCCUUAAUCGCAUUUACAGUAAUUUUUUAAUAACAAUUCGGCAAAAAAAAAAAACAAAUAUAUAUUAUUUCCCGAAGAAAAAUAAAAGGCUAAACAUGGGACGGCGCCAAGGUGGCCGUGAUCUGAUUUUGUGAAAAUACUCAUUUUAUAUUUAUAAUUUAAUAAUAUAAUAUAAAAUAAACAAAGUAAAAUUCAUUUUCAUGGUACAAAUAAUGCAAUAAAUAAUAAUAUUUUGUGUUUUUGUUGGCCAAUCACAUCACUUGACGUGUCUCAAACCCAAAUAAUUAUUUUUCCGCACAUUCUCAAUCGAGUGGAGUGGGCCCCACAUAGGGUUUGUGUAUCAUUUUGCACACGUCAAACAGUGUCAUUUAUGAGUUGCUUUCUUUCAUACACCUAUUCAAUUUUAUAUAUUUUAAUGCUGCUAAAGCAAAUAAAAAAAAUACAAAAAUGUAUUAAAAGUGCCAAUAAUAAUAAUAUAAAAANNNNNNNNNNNNNNNNNNNNNNNNNNNNNNNNNNNNNNNNNNNNNNNNNNNNNNNNNNNNNNNNNNNNNNNNNNNNNNNNNNNNNNNNNNNNNNNNNNNNCGAAUUGGGGGAAGAGUAAGCAGAUUGUUGUCAAUGGUUUUGCCACCCAAAUAUGGAGUAAAUUACAAAAAGUACCCCUGUGUAAUAUCUAAAUAGCGAAAACCCUCUAUGAUAAAUAAACUAGCAAAAAAUUCCUAAUGAAAUUAUUUAAAUAACACACUCGGCCCAUUUCUCAUUUGAGUGUUGACUUCAUAUAAAAAGACACAAAUACCACCGGAAUUUUGCAACUAAUAAAUUCUUAUAUUUUUUAAAUAUUUUAAUUAUUUUAUUUUUGUUAUAUCUUAAUUAUAAAGGUACAAUGUGGUCUUUAAUUUAUUUUUAUUUUUAUUAUCACAUAAUUUUUGUAUAUAUUUUAAAUUAUCGCUACAUCAAAAGAAAACUUUAAUUCCAUUAUUAUUUAUUUAAAAAAAUCUAUACUUAAUUUGAUUAACAAAUUUUUAAUUAUUUUUUAAUUUAAUUAUUUACUAUUUUUUAAUAUCUUAAUUUCUAAACAAUCAAAUUAAAAGGAAAAUAUAUAUACAUAUAAUAUAUAUACAUAUAAAUACAUUUUUAUGAUUAAUUUCGUCAUUUCACGUCCAAAAAUCAACUACCAGUCGCGCAACCCGUGAGUGAGCCACACUUAAAUCAACCGCGGGGUUUUUGCCUUUGACUAAGUUUCACAGAGGGGGUUUUGCUAAUUAUUUAUCACAGGGGGUUUUUGUUAUUUGUUAUUUAUCAUAGGGGUACUUUUUGCAGUUUACUCCCCAAAUACGUAAUGGAGAUAAAUCUUUUAGAAAAAUUAUAGUUUUCACCUUCAAAUUUAUAUUAAUUACAUAUUUGAUCCUUUAUGUUCAUAAAAAAUAGAUUUGAUCAUUUUUAUUUUAAUAAUUCAACAUUUUAGUUAUUCUCAUCGAUUCACCGUUGGAAGAAUUCAACAUCAGUCGUUUUCCACAUUUAAACUUCAAAGCCAGAAGUAUUUAAAACAUCAUCUAUUCGUUUCGUUUAAAUAUGUGGUUGAUAUGUCUAAUUGGCCCAACGCAAUGGGCCUACAAAUUAUUUACCUACUGGGCCACGAGCCCAAUGUCGAAGACCACUAUCACCGAGGCCCAAUCACCUUCAAGUAAGGUUUGGGCCCGACAAUCUCAACUAAGUUAUAAAUAAAUGUUUGAACUCAUUCCUUAAGGUACGUCCUAUUAUCUGAGCAAUACUAUUAAUCGUAUUAUCUGGACUAUUUCUAUGAUCAGCACGUCUGACUUAAGCGUCGGAGGGGUUUCCGCCGGAUCAACCCCCGGCUUAGUUCAUGUGUUAUAUGAUCGCAGGUACCUCAGGAUCAUCAAGUUGUCAAGCUACUGAUCCGCUUUGCUCUCCCAGUUCAUUUUCUACACUACCCCAGGUGAUCUAAGUAAUUAGCAUCAUCAGUGGUCUAAGCAUUUUUCAAUACCAAAAUUGAAAAUUACAUAAUAUAUCGCGUUGUUGACUAGUUGUGAAUUUGACUUGAUAGCAAUUCAAAUCAAUCCAUCAUUUUUUUAUAUGAUUCGGAUUAAUUCAAUUGCUCGGGUCCAUUAAGUAUGUCCAUCUCAAUGAAAUCUUAUAAGAAGAGACGAAGCCCACAUGAAACAGUCGCCUUUAUUAUUCUACGAAACCAGGCGUUUGCGAGUUAACUCCGAGCGAGACAAACGCCAACCUAACUUCUGUAGCAAGAAGGAGAGGAUGAUCGACCACAAGAUAGCGAGAGAUUCAGCCGCCUAAGCCAUGUGACAACAUUUAAUGCACGUCCAAUCAACUGAUAUGUUCAGAGAAUGUUUCAUGCUUUGACUUGUACAACCAUUUCACUAUUCCCUUGAAGGCACAUAGUAAAUAUAAUUGAAGGGUAAUUUAAAAUCCGGAAAUAUUUUACUAGAAUGAUUAGACAAAUUUAACUGAAAUGAAGAAAUGGUUGACGUCCAAACAUAAAAAAUGAAGAAAUGACGAGAUAUUAAAUAUCUCGUCAUUUGUUUAUGACAUAAAGUUUUAGUUGUUAUAUCCAGUACGGGUGUCUGGAGGGUAACCGUUGUUCCAAAAUCGACACUUAACUUGACGCAUUUUUUGUGACGCGAGUCGCGAGUUAGCUUAACGUGCUUCAACACUAGUGACCAUUGUCAAAAUGCCAGUUUUUAUUCAAUAUUUGUGCGAAAAUCUCGAAUUAUUUUCAAUAAUCCAAGAAGAUUUACUUACAUGGUACUAAUUAAUUGAAAAGUUAAUUAUUGUAGAUUAAAAAAUAUAAAUAAUUUGAUAAAACCAUUAUUAACAACACAAAUCACUAAGGCUUAACUUAUAAAAUCUGCAAGUUGGUCCAUAGUCAAGACAGGUUAUUUUUUUUUUUGUGGGCCAAAACCUGCCCAUUUACCUAAUCCAACUAGCCCAAUAAGAUUUUACAUAUCAUUUUUUAUUUGUUAUUUUUUAUUUCAGAAAAUAAAUAAACUUUAUUCAUUUAUGUGAAUCCCAAAUGUACUAUUGCAGCUAUGCAUGUUCAAGCGACUUUACUUUAAAAAGAUGGAACUGUACAGAACCACAGGAAGUGGCACUGCAGGAGCCCGCUCCUAUUUGUUGUUCGCUUUCUUCUUCUCCUCUCCACACUCCCCCCCCCCCUUCUGAAUGCGCGAGAGUGAAAAAAAUAAUAUAUAAUAUAUAUUAUAUAAUUAUUUCCUUUUUAUUUUUUUUUUAUUAUUUUUUUUUUUUUGGAAUUUUUUUUAUCAAAAUCUUUGGGUUCUCUGUAUACUACAUUACAGUAUUCUCGGUCACGAUUAAUUCAGUACGAUUCCCAGUUCCGAAGCUGUUUCAGAAUUUGCUUAUCAACAAUUCGCUGAAAAAUCCCCCUUUUUGAGCAAUCUCCGGAUAUCAGAUACCCAAAGCAGAGGUAAUGCCACUGUGAAUUAUUUGAAUUUUGAUUUUAUUUUUGCUCGGAUGAUCUCAUUUGACUCGUUCGAUUCCUAAAUGGAACUAUUUCUGCAUGUUUUAUAUAUAUAUAUAUAUAUAUAUAUAUAUAUAUAUAUAUAUAUAUAUAUAUAUAUAUAUAUAUUAUUUUUUUAAUAAUUUUUUUCCCGGAGGGGUUCCCUUUGAUUUUUUGUUUGUCUCAAGAAAAUGCUGGGGAUCUUGUGUUGGAUAUGUGGCACAGCAUAUAAUGCGUGUGAAAUUGGGUGUAUUUGAAGUACAUUUUGCUUCAGAAUUGACUAUUUUCUUUAAUUUAAUUAUAUAAGAAAGAAUUGAGAAUUUUGAGUUUUGUUUUAGCCUUGGUUGAGUUGAGAAAUAAGUAGUGAAGGAAUUAAAAAAACCCGAAUUACAAGUAAGCGGGCGAAAAGCCGAAAUUAUGUAAAAUUUUCAAAUCUUACGAAUUGAAAAAGUAGUUUAAGUCGAACGAGCACAAAGGAACUUUUAUUGAUUCAAUACUGUGAUGUAGAUGUACAUAACUUUAACUUCUGACUUAAUUUUACUAUUUUCACAUGAAAAAUAUUCUCGAUAGCAGUUUUCCGGGGUACACAGGGUUCAAUAUUUUGAUGGUAUGCUAUAUCGGAAGUGGCAAAAUGACAGCCUUGGCGGGGCUUCUAGAUGCUGGAAGUAUCUCGCAAACUGUAACAGGUAAAAUAUUAAACAAUCUUAAGAUUUGGCUUCAAGUGGGACAUGAAUGUAUUCUCCUCGAGCGUAAUGCAGUCCUUAGAUGCUUACUCUUUCAUAUUAUCAGUUAACCUGUUUGCACUCCGUAGUUCGUAAAAUGAUUUUUUUGUGAAUUUGUGAUUUUUUCAAACACUUUUGUGGGUCAUCUUCUACAGAAAUGAUGUGAAAGUAGCCUUCCGAUUGGAAAUGUGAUUUAAUUAAAAUUCCGCCCAUCAGCACUCUGUGUGUGUGUGUGCUUUUUAUGAAUGCCUCGCUUGUUGCACAGUACAGACACAUGCAUUCUGUGUCACAUGAAUUUCUAUGUAUUUACAAACAUGAAGGAGUAACAUCUGUGUCAACUUAAAUGCAAACACUCGAUUUAUUCUGGUUACCUUUGUUAACUGUGAAGGAAGGUUGAUUACUUAGAAGUUACUAUAACUUAAAUUCUUGCGUAGCUUGUGUGGAGUCAUAAGAAAACAGUUAAAUUACUUCUUCUAUUUAUAAGCUUUUCUCAUUUUUUUUUUUCUCGUGAUUUUCUUCUAUCAUAUGGCUUGGAGAGACCAAGUAUGAACUGUGUAAUUGCCUAUCUGUCAUUUAAUGUGCAUUGUUUUGACAUCUCAUAUUCGUGUUACUUCCCUCUCUCACCACCCAGAGGAUGUAGGCCACCAGAAAGUAGCUGCACAAUACCUAAGGAGAGAAUUACAAGAGGCUGAUGAAGCAAAUUUACUUGAUGAAGAAGGUACGUGCUCAUACUUAGGUUCUGAUAUAGGUUGACACCUGAAUGUUAUGUUAUAAUGUGGAGAAGUUACUUUUUGAGGUGGAGAAAGUGCUGAUUUUCGGUCAUGAAUCAUGGUAUAGUUCCAUCUUUUUAACUUUACAUGCUCCAUUAAAUAUGGGAAUAUUAAACAUGAAGAGGGUGAAUAUUAGUCUAAAAUAUUCUCUACGUAAACUAAAAAUUUUACCAUCUAACUAAGCCGCCACCCUGCUUCACUAUUUUUCGAAUUCUGUUUGGAGCGAACACUAUGGCUGCGCUCAAAUUGCUUACUUAUUGCAAACAACUUGGCUAUUGUGGUUGCAUACAAAAUGCAGUUCUGUUUGAUAUAAGUAAAGAGAGUUAAAAAGAGCAUCAAAAUGGUGGCUAAGUUUCAUUACUGUUAUUUGAUGUGAAUUUUGUUGCAGGAUUUUUAGAUGUUAAUGAUUCCAUUAUGUCCUAGUGACUAAAGUCCCAGUUAUGUUAGGCUGUGAAAGGGCAUCCUCUCUAUUUCAUAUUGCACGAUAACUAUGUGCAAUUGUAUCUUGUCCGAGGAAUUUUUAUGUGUAUUCAGCUUCCGAUCUCUGCACUUCAUUUGGUUGAUUUUCUCUUGUAGAUAUGCAUAUUUUUGGUUUGAGGCCGAUGACAGAUCCUUUAUUUUUGGUAAGUCUCGGAAANNNNNNNNNNNNNNNNNNNNNNNNNNNNNNNNNNNNNNNNNNNNNNNNNNNNNNNNNNNNNNNNNNNNNNNNNNNNNNNNNNNNNNNNNNNNNNNNNNNNNNNNNNNNNNNNNNNNNNNNNNNNNNNNNNNNNNNNNNNNNNNNUUUUGUGCAUCCUAGUGCUGUAAAUUAGAGAAUUCCAUAACAAAUAAUAAAAUACACGUAGUGGAGAUGUUAUGGUUGAUGUUAAACAUCAUCUGAUGGAUUUGACCUAUCGAACACUCCCCCUCAAGUUGGACAAUAUAUAUCCAUUAUGUUCAGCUUGUACACUAAAAAGUAAAAUAUCUUGUCUGUAAGGCCUUGGUUAUAAUAUAAGCAAUUUGCUCUCAAGAGGGCAUAAAAGGGUACUGAUUUGUCGUUUCAUUUUAGCUUCACGAAUAAGUAACAACCGCUUCAAUAUCUCAUGAGAACUUUCUAUCUAACAAGCCCAAAAAGUAAUAAACAUGUGUUUAUUUGUUUUGGAGGUAUGCUGCAAUGCUUGUAAGAAGCCAAUCAAGGCCAGUCAAUACGCUGCACAUGCAGGUAUCAUUUAGUCUUGAAUUUCCAUCGAUAUUCAGCAUUGUUGAAUUCUUCAAUUUCGCUUUUUGUUGCACGACGCCUUAUUUAGAAUAUAUUUUUAUUUCUGUAUUAUUAUAUCAGAAAAUAAAGAGCAAAGAAUAUUAAGGAACAUAAUGUUAGAGCAUUUUUUUUCUUUGUUAAGAAAUUACGCAGCUUAUUGGUUUUUCAUCUUUGCAGAGCUUUGUAAGUCUUUUAGUUCUAGCGUGGAGCUGGAACAGGAACUUGAUGCGCCUGCAGUGAAUAAAAAACCUCCACGGAAGGAGAGGAAGAAGUUACCGAUGACUAAAACUAGUAUCCUUUUCCAACUGUGGAAAAGAAAUAUUAAUUUCUGUACUCGGCAAAAUUUUAUUUUCUUAACCUCUAGCAGAAAAAUCCACUACACUGGGAGAGCCCAAAAAGAUAGAAUAUGUCGAUUCCAAGGAUAUAGCUGUAUCAGAAUCUUGUGUAGAAGAAAAGAUUCAAAUGAGGCCCUUUGCUGAAGCUAAACGUAUUGUUCUCUUUUGCUGUUUACUCUUUAUUUCCUUACUGUCAUCUCAAGAAUCAUACUCGAAACAAGUACAGGCGCCAUGCACAAAAAAAAAGGGAAAAUCUGGAUUCCGAUUUUCAAAUAUAUAUAUUUUUAAAUGAGUCUACAAAGCCAUGUCAAUGCGACUGUCUUGAAACACUAACUUCUUCCAAAUGCAAAUCAACGUGAAUGGAUGGACAAUAUAUUGAACCAUGGUCAUCUUAGUCGUAAAUUUUUAUGGAUUCCUUACUUCGUCUUUCCGUGGUUACAUUGGUAGGUUUCGCAGGGAAACAUGCAUCUGAGUUCCACUUAUNNNNNNNNNNNNNNNNNNNNNNNNNNNNNNNNNNNNNNNNNNNNNNNNNNNNNNNNNNNNNNNNNNNNNNNNNNNNNNNNNNNNNNNNNNNNNNNNNNNNAAAUAAUAGGUGGACCCGAAGAACUGAGAAUUUUUACCUAGCUCAUUAAAAAAUGUAUCAUGGUUCACUUUCCGUAAUUCGAUGUCUUAACUUAAGAAAUACGGCUCAAACAAUUGAGGUAUAAUAAUGCUUCAUAGAAAAUUGCCAACUACUUUAUCUGCAUUAAAGUUAGAUGUGUUUAAAGCCAAUUCAGUAUGGGCUUCUUAAGAAACCAAACCAAGUCAAUUCAGUGCCAUUUACGUAGUCCUUUUUUUUUUUGUACCCAUAGUAAUACAUGGUUUAGGCAAACAUCUUGAUCAAAUUGUUUUGGAUUUGUUCAUUUUUAUAUUGUAGGAUUGCGGCUGAAAGUCCGUCAAAUUCAGUUACUAAGAAUUUGUGCAAGACAACUGCUAAGAUUCUCCCACGUAAGUUCACUCCAUCUCAUUGGUGUUUUUAAUGUGAAUUACAUGUCUGUAAUUUUGGAAUGAGUUCGAAAGUUCGUUGAAAGACCUGUGUAUGCAUCUCAUCCUUUGUGAAAAAAGAGGUAUCCCAUAGUAGUCAAUAGCAGACACUUUUUACAUUUUAAAGAAAUACUGAUCGAACCACCGGUUUCUGAUCUAGCAUAAAUAAAUCUCAUUCUCAUUGAUAUAUCCUGUGUGGACUCUGCUAAUUAAAAUUUUAUUCAGAAUUGUAGUUAUGUAAUUUUGAUCAUUUAAAACCCCCGUUACUAAAAACGAGAGUUACUGUAUAGGAUAUUGAACUUGUUCAAAUUGUUUGUAUUCUGAAAUGGGUUCUCAUGAUAUGUUUGCAAUUAUAACCGGUUCUUUAUGGUUUAAGGUAAUAUACCGACGGUAGCUAAAUGUUGAAUAAUAUCAGAUGUCCCAGCUCCGAUUGCAACCAAAAUAUAUUAUUCCCAAAGAAAUUACAAUCUACGAAGAGCCAUUCGUCGCAUGUUCUUUGAGGAACCAAGAAAGGAGUCGAGCAACGAGGUUUCAAAUUCAGAAACAGUACAAGUAAAUCCAGUUCCCGCACAAACUUUAAUUUCUCGUUAUAUCUCUCUUCACUUUUCACUUUUUAAGAGUUAAGCGUGGGAAGCAAGUAUUUGCUUUGAAAAGCUAAAUUCGAUUUCACGUGGCUGCAUAUAUAUAACUAGAAGAAUGAAAUUAGUGACGUAAACUUAAUUCUUUGUUGGCACAGAGAGAUGACCAUUUUUUGCAUCUGGCUCAAACACCUGAUCGAAUUCUUGCAGCAAAAUCAGGAGGAACCACCCGAUCAAUGACCAAAGCUUCUCAGCUUCCUGUGAAUAAUAAUACUCUAGUACCUCAUUACAUUUCAAACUCUUAUUCUGGUGAGUUUUAUCUCUGCAAUUAUUUCGGUGAUUUUGUGCUUUCUUCCGUAACUGCUAACUGCGAACCCUUUUAAAUUAGUUUUCACAAUAAUACGACUUCUAAUUCCAUUCGGGGAAAUUUUAUAGGUACUCUUCACAAGGGGAGUGGAAGUGUUCCGGUUGUAUAGGACUACUACACAAGGAAUCUUUUUGCUCGGUAAAUUGCUACCCUUUUUGCUCUAAUUCGAUGAGUUAGUCUAAACUCGGAGAUAAAGAAAUUCCUAUAUUGCUAUAUAUAUAUCUAACAUUUUGACACCCGCUAAAUUAAGAUUGUGCAGUGUACAGAAUAGUUACUACUUUUGUCAAAAUCCUCCCGGAAUUUAACGAUCAUAUAUAAAAAACGAUAUCAAGAUUACUAGAUAUAUUGAGAAAAUUUAGAAAUGUGGAAGAAAUGAAUUAUUUUUCUGUUUGAAUUUCUUCGCCCAAGGCUAUGCAUGAGGCAUAUUAGUUCAUCGGUGAGUUACCGGUGCUCCCUUGAGGUAAGACUAAAUAACUUAAAGACACCCCUUUGGUAGAGUAGUUAUGAGUAACGGAAUCUUGAAGAUUCUGUGGAAUAUUCGUUCUGAUUUUCCAAAUCUACCCCCGACAUGUAUAGUAGUAAUAUUGUAUUCAGGUUUCAGCCCUUCACCUCCUAAUUCUGCAAAACACACUACCAACAUAUAAAAAGGAACCCUUUUUCUUAAGGUAUGUACAAAAAUGUCAUUUGUUUUUGUUUAUGUUUUUUGUUUUGGUGUAGAUAAAUAAUUAAUUAAUAAUAAGAUACUUUUGGAAUAUUCUGUGGGCUUGGACUAUGAUGUUAUAUGUGUGGCCUUGUACCAUGUGAUUUAUGACAGCUACCUAACAUUAGUUUAGAAGAACACGAAAACUAAAAGAUAAGGAAGAAUCAUUACUUGUAUCCAAGAUGAAUUUUAUAAUUGAUUUUUUUUAAGCCAAUUUUUAUAAUUGAAGGAAUAGUUUUAAAUAAUUUUAUUUAAGAUGAAUCGAAAUUUCGUUGUAGGUAUAGAAACCCUCCCCAUUAGGGAUUGCCGCAUCAAAAUUAAUUUCCAUGCUCUUGGAAUCGAUUGCAUUCGGACUACAAUUGUCAUCGUGUUCAGUCCCACAACUCAUGAAGAGAGAAAAAAAAUCACCUAUGAAAAAAUUAACAAAAAAUAAAAAAUGCUUGACAUUAUUUUAUUUUUGGGUAAAAAUACAAUGGGCUAAGAAGGUUAGUUUGUGGGCCUAAUAACGCGGAGGUAAUUCGGUGGGCCUACAACACAUUCUAAAAUCUCAAUCAAUUGGCUUUUCCGCCAGCUAAGCAAUAAAUUAAUCACUGUCAAUGUUACCUACAUUAAAUCCAAAAAUCAUAUAUUAAUUAAUUAAAAAAAUUAAAUAAAAAUAUGCACGUAUUCUAUCUUGUGGUUGUGGAUGAAAACUAGGUCUCUUUUGGUUGGUUAAAGAAAUCAUUUGAAAUUAAAUAAUUGAUUUUAUUUCAUGUUGGUUAAACUUGAUCACUUUAACUUAAAUAAUUGGGAUUAUUCAUCAUUAGGUGGUAGUUAAGUUAAAAUUAGUUUCAACACUUUUAAUAUAUGAAACUUUGUUUAAAAGACCAUCAAAGUUCAAACUCCCAACUUGCGUUAUUUUUAAUGCAAAGAUUACGCGUUUUUCUUAUUGAUGAAACAACAAAAAAAAUAAGCUCAAAUUAUGACCACCUCGUGAACUAUGUGGUGUUUGCAAAAAAAUAUUUAAAAACAAAAGUUAGUGAUUCUGAGUUAAGUUGGAAUUAAGUGAUAAUUUCUAAAAGUUGGAUUGCAAAUUCGGUGGAAAAUCAACUAAAAUAGAUUAAGCAGGUAUUGGUGUGCUUUUAAAAUUAUAGCUUAAAACAGCUUAUUUCAAAGAAGCAAAAGCAAAAGUUUAUUUUGCAAACAACUAAAAACAGAUUAUAUGCAUUCAUAAUCUAUUUUUAAAAACUUUUACAAACACCACCUAAAUUAUGAAAAAAACUCCUUAUAUUUGGAUAAUUACAACCAUCUCCCUCAAUUAUAUAUUAUUCUUAAUACAUGCAUAUAUCUAAGAAGCCACCUUAAUAUUUGUUUUUUUUUAAUGGACACCUAAAUAUUUUAGAACAUAAAAAUAGGAAGAAACAUUCAAUUCCGUGGUGGACAUGCUAAAUAAUAUUAUUUUAAAAACAUUUAAAAAAAAUGAAAAGAUUCCAUUGGUGUUGCACACGUCAUCAUUCUCAUUGUUAUCCACUAUCCCCAUUAUUAUACGGGCAUUUUCAACUACUAAAUUAAUUUUAAAAAAAUCUUUUUUUUUUUUUUCUUCUACUGUGAAAACCCCAUUUUCUGCGAAUUCUCUGAUUUUGAAAUGCUUCCGUGUUGGGUUUUGCUUGCUUCUCUGUAUAACUGAAGUGAAUUUUGUUUGUACGCUGAAAUUUGGGGGAAAUUUUUUAGGGGCGGAAUUGCAAUUUUGGGGGGCGGCGCAAUGAUUAAGCUCGGAUUGAAAUCACGGUCGCGAAGAGUUGUUCAGGAGAGCUUUAUGGAUGUGGAGAAAUCGAAAAUCUGUUUGGGGAAAAGUAAAAAUAAAAAUAGAAGAGAAGAAAUUGGUGAAAAUCGGAGUGAUAGUUGCUGGGAGAGUUUGCCUACGGAAUUACUGAGGGAAAUAUUAAUGAAAGUCGAGGAAUCGGAAUCGAAUUGGCCGGCCAGAAAACACGUAGUGGCGUGUGCUGGUGUGUGUAAAAGCUGGAGGGAGGUGAUGAAGGAGGUGGUUGAAAGGCCCGAGGUUUCUGGGAAGAUUACAUUUCCUGCAGCUGUUAAACAGGUUUAGUUUUUUUCGAAUUGUUCCGGUUUUUAUGCGAAUGAGUAAUUUGCUUCGUUUCGUUUAUUUCGAUAAGUAUGGACUUUGUGUUUUGGUGAUAAGUUCUGUGGUGGUUAACUGUUUAUCGGAUUUUGGAUAUGAUUGAUGAAUGAUGAUUAAUCGGUGCAGCUUUGCUUUUUUACUCGUUCUUCGUGUCUGUGUGUGUGUGUAUGCGUGGUACGUUCUUGAUUUCGAGGCUUGUGUUGGUUUAUCGCGGUUUUGGUAGGAUUUUGAUAUGCUUUGCUUUUCGGAUGAUUUGAGGUUUUGUUUUUUCCCGAAUAAUUAUGUAACUUGUGAUAAAUGAUAAUCGGUUGCAUCUUUGAUAUCGGUGUUUGAUUCCUCGGUUUUGAUGAACUAUGUAAUAUACUUCUGAAUUGUCGUCAUGCUUUAUUGUAUAUAUACAUUUUUUUUGUUUGUGCUGUUGCAGUUAAGAUUUUCGAUGUGUUAAUUUACUAAAUUUUUUUUUUUCCUUUUCCGUUUUUCCGUUUGUGCAGCCUGGCCCGAGAGAAUCUCUUAUGCAGUGUUUCAUAAAAAGGAACCGCACGACGCACACAUAUUACCUUUAUGUGAGUUUAAGUCAAGGUGCAUACUGUUUUCUUAACUGCAUCACAAGCCAUUCUUAUUUUCAUAAAUAUACGAACUAUCUAUUUUAUUUUUCUUUAUUUUAUUUGCAGCGCUUGCAGAUGAUGGGAAGUUUCUUCUGGCUGCUCGUAAAUGUUGGCGGACCACAUGUACGGACUACAUGAUCUCUAUACGUGCUGAUGACAUGUCAAAGGGAACCGACACUUAUGUCGGAAAAUUGAGGUGAAUAUUAAGGGUUUUUUGCAUUUAACACCCGUGUGUUUACCUCGAAUUGUUACAAAACUCCUUGUGUUAUAAAUAUUAGCAGAACCCCCCCGUAGUUUUUAUCACGCUACCCACUAAAAACACACCAUUUAGGGAGCCGUGUGCUAAACAAAGUGCACCAUAAAAGCAGUUUUGCUUAUAUUUAUAACACGGGGAGUUUUAGCAAUUGAUAUAAUACAGUGUACUAAAUGCAAUAAUUUCUAAAUAUUAAUUUCAUGUGUCUCGAAAUUAGAUAAAUUGUUUUAGCAAGAGGCUUAAAACUUUUUCUUUUUUUUUCUAAUUUCAUGUAGAUCUAAUUUUGUCGGAACAAAGUUCGUUGUGUACGAUGGUGUUCCUCCUCAUUCUGCAGCCAAAAUGGCUAAAAGUUGGUCCACUCGUAUGGUUGGCUCUAAACAAAUUUCACCGAAGCUUCUUACAGGCAACUAUGCGGUGGCCCACAUCUCGUACGAGUUGAAUGUGCUUGGAGCUAGGUAAGUAAAUAUUCAAGAUUUAUGCAAUCACUUUCCUUUGUUGAUUGUCUGAACUCGGAAAUGUGAAAGAAAGAGCGUAAGGAAUUUCAUAGAGUUCAUUGCAAAAAAAUCCCCGUGUUAUUAAUAUUUAAAAAAAAAAAAAAGAAAAAACUUAUAAUGCAUUUCUUAGCAAAUAACCCCCUAAAUGGUGAGGUUUUAGGGGUAUAGCUUGCUAAAAAAAUGCAUUAUAGGUUUUUUUUGCUAAUAUUAAUAACACAAGGAUAAUUUAACAAAUCAAAAAUCAAUCUUUAUAAUGCAUGAAUUAUUUGCUUACAUGCAGAGGUCCGAGAAGAAUGCACUGCAUCAUGAACGCAAUCCCCUCCUCCGCCAUUAAACCUGGCGGCACCGCUCCAACAAGCCUCGACUAUUCUCCCACAAACCCGUUUUUCCGUACAAAAUCCGAUAAAUCAUUAGCGAUACAUUUAAAUAGCCAACAAGAAGAUUCACUUAUUCUGAGAAAUAAAUCUCCGAGGUGGCACGAACAGCUCCAAUGCUGGUGCUUGAAUUUCCAUGGGAGAGUUACGGCUGCUUCUGUCAAGAAUUUCCAGUUAGUUGCUUCUUCGGAGAACGGUGCACCUGGACCAGAGCACGAUAAAGUUAUUCUUCAGUUUGGCAAAGUCGGGAAAGAUGUUUUUACGAUGGAUUAUCGGUUUCCUCUUUCGGCUUUUCAGGCUUUUGCUAUUUGUCUUAGCAGUUUCGACACGAAAAUUGCGUGCGAGUAAUGUGCUCUUUCUUUUUCUUUUUUUUUUUUUUUUUUCGGGUUGAUGUUUAUAUUAGUUGUUUAAUUUAUAUGUAUUACUAUUGCAGUUGUCAUUAUGUGUGGCAGUGCGACAGAAUAAUAAUAAUGUUUAAAUUAUUGUUUUCUGUAUGUUGAUAUUUUCAUGGUAGUGAUUGGAGUUUGUAGAGUGGAAAUAGUGGAAAUGAUUUCAGCUGAUCUAUUUCUUGACUUCCUAUCAUUACACAUCUAUUGCAUUAUAUAUUUGCGGGUUAAAAAAUAAUAAAAAAAAACUUUCAAAUUUUAAUGAUUUUCAGCAAAAAGUGUGUACUAUAGUAUACAUUUUUUUGUGAUUUCUUCGACUAUUCAAAAAUUAGUUAAUUAAUUUUUCGAUGAUAUAUUUAAUGACUACUUAUCAAUAAAAUAUUAUAUUCCAUAUGUUGUGGUUUUAAAAAACAUUUAAAAAAGUUUCAUACUGCAACAUUUUUUUUCUCCAAAAAGCGUGUGCGGUUGUAAUAUACGAUUUUUGGUGAUUUCGAUUGACUAUUCAAAACAGUAAUAUGAACUUUAGAUCAUCUAUUUCCUUACUUCCUAUCAUUAAACAUGUACUAAAUUAUAUUAUUGAGUGUUGAAAAAAUAAAAAAAAUAGACUUUCAAAUUUCAACGAUUUUCUGCAAAAUGUGUGUACUAUAGUAUACGAUUUUUUGUGACUUCUUCGACUAUGCAAAAAUUAGUUAUUUAAUUUUUCGAUGAUAUAUUUAUUGACUAAUUAUCAAUAAACAUCUACUAUAUAUAUUUGAGUGUUAAAAGUAGGGCUGGGCAAAAAUUACCAAAUACCGAUUACCACGGUAUACCUACCAACAAUUACCGAAAAAAUACCGAACUAUCGGUUACCACUACAUUUGGUACGGUAUCGGUACCGUACCAUUAUCUUACGGUACGGUAGCGGUAUUGUAUCUUCAAUACCAUGGUAAUUCCGUACCGUACCGCAACUUUGUAUUUUAAAAAUUAGUUAAUAUAUUUUACCCUUUAUAUUGUAAAUAUAAAAAAUAUAAUCAACAAAUAUUAUAAAAAAAAACAAGAAUAAAGAUAUGAUACAUCACAUAUAUAUUAUAUAUACAUAAUUCUAUUUUUUUUUAUUAUUUUCAUAUAUUUAUGCAAACUUAAUAUUUAAUUUAGUUCUCGUUAAAGUUGUUUAUUUCACGUACUUCUUUAGUUUCAAAGUCCAACUAAUCUCUUAUUGGUGGAAUAUUUUUUGCCAUAAUAUUCUUCUCCCUUUCUUUCCCCCCCUAAGUUCCCACCCUUUUGUUUCAUUUGCAUUAUUACAACAUAAGUUUUUUUUAUCUUACUUAAACCAUGAAAAUGUUUUGCUCAUUAGUUUCUACAAUUUUUCUAUAGAUAUCUUAGUGAUCAUUAGUUAAAGCAACAUACGCUAUUACGGUCGUAUAAUGUAUAUUCAUGUAAAUUGCUUGAUUACCAUAUUCAUUUGCUUAAUUUGUUGUAUUUAUGCAUUUAAUUAGUAUUCAUCUUAAUUAUUGUAUUCGAGUUCAUCAACAAAAUGAUGUACGGUAGAUUACCACGUACCGAUCAUACCGUACCGAAACUAACGGUAUACCGAAUAACGGUAUACCGCAAUUGUUGGUACGGUAACGGUAUAGAAUUUUUCAAUACCGGAAGAUACGGUAGGUACACGGUAUUGAACAAAAUGUUCGGUAACCGUACCGAAACCACCCCUAGUUAAAAGUGUACGUUCUUAAUAUAUGUCUUUAUUAAGACAUAUAUGUCAUAAUAUAUGUCUUUAUUUUAAUAGAAGUCAUAAAUUUAAGGACUAAGAUGAAACAUUUGAAAACUUAAGUGCAGUCAGAACUAAUAUAAAAUUAUCGGCGUCACAAUCCCUAUUCCAUUUCCACCGCGACGAAGAAUACAGUUACACCCCGAUUCCCUAACCCUAACCCCACUCUUCUCCUUUCGGUACCACCUCUCUCCAAUCAUAACCGUCGCCGGCGCCGGCGCCGGCACCGGCGGAGACGGCGACACCAUGAAAAUGCACGACAUCUCUUCAUCCGCCGAGAUCGGCUCCCUCUACCAUACUUCCUCAAUCAACUCCCUCGCCUUGUACUCUCCUCCUUCCCCCGCAACCUGAUCGCCGCCGACGCCUAGGGUUCGCUCUCCAUCUACGACGCCGUUCCCGUUCGUGCUUCUCAACUCCGUCAAAAUUCACAAAAAGUCCGUCAAUUCGAUUCCACUAACCCCGUUUGUCACGAACCCUUCCUUUAUCUUCACUAAUCAACUCCGUUGAUGAGAAAUAACCUGUAAUAAUAGAGUUCAGUGAGAGAGUGGUGGCGGCGGAUAAUGCUCUAGGGUUGGUGAGAAAUGAGAAUAUUAGCUACACUAAGUUUAACCUAAAGAUUACCAGUAAUUGCCUGCCAUUGUCAGCUGCUCCUUUGUCCUCUUAUACUGCCAUCACGUGAUAGAGGAGCUGGAGUUAGGGUGGAGCAUACCCAUGCAGCUGAGGUGUGCCCACGUCUGCCUCUUCCCUUCUUCAAAACGACAGCGUUUCGUCUUAUUCUUUAAUAAUAAUAAAAGCGUUAAAUAAUAAAAGCGCGUUCACGCUUUCUCAAGUUGAACGACACCGUUUUAUUUACGGAUUUAAAAAUCCGUUUAUUCAGUUAUUACACUACCCCUCCCUCUUUUCCAGCCAUGUCUCAUGGCUGAAAUGUAGGAAAUUUCUUCCCCAUCUCAUCAGCAUUCUCCCACGUAGCUUCCUCCUCUGGCAAGUGGAUCCACUUCACUAGCCACUGCACUAGUGCAGCAUUGUUUUUUUUUGACCAUUCUCCUCUCUAAAACCCUUUCUGGUACUAGCAAGAACUGAUUGUUUUCAUCAAGAGGUGGUAUUGAAGGUGGUACUUGAGUCUGAGUGCCUAUGUGUUUCUUCAGCUGAGAAACAUGGAACACCGGGUGCACCUUGCUAUCAAUAGGAAGAUCAAGCUCAUAGGCAACUGGUCCUAUCUUCUUGAUGAUAGCAAAGGGUCCACAAUACUUCGGGGUCAGCUUCCAAAGAUGACUCUUCCUCAGACUUAAUUGCUUAUAGGGUUUAAGCUUCAAGUAAACAAGCUCUCCUUCCUCAAAAUGUCUUUCACUUCUGUUUUGAUCAGCAUAAAAUUUCAUCCUGGCUUGUGCUUCUCCCAGUAACUGUUUCAACUGUUGAGUAACCCUUUGGUGCUCUUCUAUCCAUACCUUGACUCCUUCUGUCUUCUUGAGUAAGUGUGGUCCAUAUCCUAACUGCGGUGGUUGAUAUCCAUACAAGGCCUCAAAAGGGGUCAUCUGUAUAGUGGAGUGAAAAGUGGUGUUAUACCACCACUCAGCUAGUGGGAUCCAUGAGCUCCAUUUCUUUGGCAUUUGUCCACACAUGCAUCUUAGGUAGGAUUCUAGGCAUUGGUUCACUCUUUCUGUCUGUCCAUCAGUCUGAGGAUGGAAAGCAGUGCUUAACUGUUGCUGCACCCCUAAAGACUGCAUCAACUCCCUCCAAAAGUGACUGGUGAAUAUGGGGUCUCUAUCAGAAAUGAUAUAAUUUGGCAACCCAUGCAGUUUAUAGAUCUCUUCAAUGAAUGUCUGAGCUAGAGUAGAAGCUGUGGUAGGUUGAGAGAGAGCUAUGAAGUGCCCAUAUUUGGUGAACCUAUCAACUACUACCCAUAUGCUUUCUUUCCCAUGUGAUUUGGGCAGUUUUACAAUAAAAUCCAUGGUAAUGCAAGUCCAUGCUCCCUCUGGUAUAGGUAGUGGUUGGAGGAGUCCUGGUGUCUUAACAUUUUCAUGCUUGCUCAGUUGGCAAAUAUGGCAAUUUUUGACCCAUUCUUUCACUUGGCUCUUGAGUCCAGGCCACAGAAACACCCCUUGAAUCCUUUGGUAAGUGUUUUGUAUGCCAGAAUGCCCCCCCAUGCUUGUCCCAUGCAUCUGCUCAAUGAGAUUCUUCCUCACCUCUUGUUGACUUCCCACAAAAAUUCUGCCCUUGAACCUUAUGAUUCCUUCAUUGUAUUGGUAAAAUGAGACAUCUAAUGGUCUCAGGGAGCAAUUAGCAAUGAUUGCUUGUGAUUCUUCAUCAUUGUCAUAACUUUGUAUGACCUCUUGAAUCCACAUAGGUUGGAUUAUUGUCAUUUGGUUCAAGGUCUGCUCAGUUCCUCUCCUUGAUAGUGCAUCAGCUGCACUGUUCUCAGUUCCUCUCUUAUACUCUAUGGUAUAGUUGAAACCUAGCAGUUUGGCUAAGUAUUUGUGCUGUAGUGGAGUGGAAAGCUUCUGCUCCAAUAGAUACCUCAAGCUCUUCUGGUCAGUUCUUAUCACAAAAGUGCCACAAAUCAGGUAAGCUCUCCACUUCUGGACUGCCAGAAGUAUAGCCAAGAAUUCCUUCUCAUAUAUAGAUAGACCUAAGUUCUUUGUCCCCAGUGCUUUGCUUAAAUAAGCUAAGGGAUGGCCUUUCUGCAUUAAUACUGCACCAAUUCCAUGAUAGGAGGCAUCAGUCUCAACCACAAACUUUUCCUUGAAAUCUGGCAGUUGCAGCACUGGUGUGGUAGUCAUGGCUGCUUUCAGUUUUUCAAAAGCUUCUUGGGCCUCUAAGUUCCAUUGGAAUUGCCCUUUCUUCAGUUGUUGAGUCAGUGGUUUAGCUAUCUCUCCAUAGCCUCUCACAAACUUUCUGUAAUACCCAGUCAAGCCCAGAAACCCUCUAAGAGCUUUCACUGUUGUGGGAGUUGGCCAGCUCUUCACACUUUCUAUCUUGCUAGGGUCUACUCCUACCCCAUCUUCAGUGAUGAUGUGCCCCAAAUAUUCCACUUGUUUUUGACCAAAACUGCACUUACUCAUUUUAGCAUACAGUUGGUGCUUCUUGAGAAGCUCCAGCACCCUUCUCACAUGUUGUUGGUGAGAAUCAAUAUUAGGGCUGUAGAUGAGUAUGUCAUCAAAAAAUACCAACACAAAUUCCCUUAGGUGAUCCCUGAAGACAUCAUUCAUCAGGGCUUGAAAUGUAGCAGGUGCAUUUGUGAGUCCAAAUGGCAUCACCAAGAAUUCAUAAUGCCCAGCAGAAGUUACAAAGGCAGUUUUCUCCACAUCUCUUUUGCUCAUUCUAAUUUGGUGGUAGCCAGCCCUGAGGUCAAUUUUUUGAGAACAACCUAGCUCCCCCCAAUUCAUCUAAUAAAUCAUCAAUUAAAGGAAUGGGAUAUCCAUCCUUUAUGGUCAUGGAGUUUAACUUUCUGUAGUCUACACAGAAUCUCCAUGAUCCAUCUUUCUUUUUGACCAACAGUACUGGUGAUGCAAAUGGGCUAUUGCUAGACUGUAUGAUCCCAGUUUGUAGCAUUUCUUGCACCAUGGCUUCCACCUCUUUUCUCUGCAUGAAAGGAUAUCUAUAGGGUUGGGAUUUGAAUGGCUGAGCAUUCUCUUUAAGGGGAAUUGAGUGUUCAGCUCUCCUUACUGGUGGCAGCUCAGUAGGUUCUUGAAAUACUUCAGCAAAUUCACUGAUCACUUCUUUGAUUUCAUUUGGAAUUUCUGUCCCUUCCCUUGUACACUCUGGACUCUGCAUCAUGACUAAGCACCCCAUGUUGAUCUCUCUAUUGUGCAGCAUGCUUUGCAAUUCUUCCUCACCAAUCAUGUGAAAUUCAGGUUCCCCAUUUACCCCUUGGAGUACUACUUCUCUUCCCUCAUAAUUGAAUGCAAUUGAUUGUACAUUAUGAUCAAAAGAAAGUGGUGCAAAUCUCUUCAUAAAAUCCACCCCAAGUACCAGAUCACACCCUCCUAGUUCCAAAAGAGUCACACUGAUCUCAAACUUGCAAUCCCCCAUUUCCCACUGGAAGUUUGGGCAGAAUGAAUCACACUCCACUUGGAGCCUCCCAGCUACUUUCACUUUAGAUCUUUUAUUGCACACCCUAUCACACUUCAAUCUGAUUGCAGUUUGAGGAUCUAGAAAACUAUGUGAAGCUCCAGUGUCAAGUAGGAUGGUUAUAGGUUGACCCUUGUGUUUUCCUAGCACCUUGAGUGUGGUCUGAGUGAUUUGGCCAGUGAUAGCAUUGAAGGAAAUUUGCAUGCACUCCUCUGCUACUCCCUCUGUCAAUUCCUCUACCUCUUCUGCAGUAGCUUCAUCAUCUGAUGAUGGUAUACACUCAAUAUGGAAUAGCUUCUUACACCUAUGUCCAGGAAUGUAUCUCUCAUCACAAUUGUAACAUAGUCCCCUUUUUCUUCUUUCUUCUAACUCUGGUCUAGUCAGCUUCUUAUGAUUCAUCCCUCCUCUCUCAGCUUGUUGAGCUCUGGUGAUCUGGGCAGUUGGUUUGUAGAGUUUCAACUGUGUAGUAGCAGACUUCACAGUGUGUUUGAUCUCUUCAGAGAUGUGGUCAGCAUUUCCUUCUUGCAAUUUGGCUUGUUGUAUUGCUUGAGAUAAAGUCAUAGGCCUCAUCAUUUUGACCACAUUCUUAAUGCUAUCUUUGAGUCCUUCAACAAAACACUCCAGAUAAUAGGUUUCAUUGAAUGUUCUGUGCUUUUUACUCACAAAGGCUUUUAGAUGCUCAAACUUCAAUCUGUAUUCUUCCACUGUGGUUUCUUGGCGCAGCCUGUUAAAUUCAGCAGUUAAGCUGACUCCCUCUUCCUCUAAGAACCUAUCCAACACCAUAUUUGUGAAAUUCUCCCACCCCAGCCCUUCUAGCUGCUCAAUGUAAUCAGUAUACCAGUCUUCUACUUUCCCUUCUAGAUGCAUAGAUGCAAACUGCACUUUGUCUUGUUCACUCAUAGGGUUUAGAGUAAAGUACCUAUGGCACCUUCUCAACCAAGUCCUAGGAAAUUCCCCAUCAAACUUGGGAAAUUCUACCUUGGCAGCCCUAUUUUCUCCCCCUCUACCCGGGCUGUUCAGACUCCCUACUUCAACACGCAUCUGGGGUUGUGUAUUGUGUAUAUUUUCAGAAAACCGUAAGGGGUUUUCAGAGGAAUUACCUUGAGUGUAAGGGGCUUUUCCACGGUCUCCAUUGACAGCUCUCACAAGCUCUCCUACCAGUUUACUCAGGUCUUCAAUCCUUUGAUUUGUUUCAGCUCUCCCUUUUGCUAUUUCAGCUUGUAAACCGGCUUGUAUCUCACUCAUGUCUCCUUGGAUUUUCUUGUUGAAAGCUAGCUGUUCAUCCAGGUAAACCUCCGCAUCAGAUCUGGUGUUAUCGCUUGAUCCUGUUCUCACAUGGCUUCUAGUCAUCAUUUAAGGGUGUGAUGGCCAGAAACGGUGGCUCUGGAUACCAAAUGUCACGAACCCUUCCUUUAUCUUCACUAAUCAACUCCGUUGAUGAGAAAUAACCUGUAAUAAUAGAGUUCAGUGAGAGAGUGGUGGCGGCGGAUAAUGCUCUAGGGUUGGUGAGAAAUGAGAAUAUUAGCUACACUAAGUUUAACCUAAAGAUUACCAGUAAUUGCCUGCCAUUGUCAGCUGCUCCUUUGUCCUCUUAUACUGCCAUCACGUGAUAGAGGAGCUGGAGUUAGGGUGGAGCAUACCCAUGCAGCUGAGGUGUGCCCACGUCUGCCUCUUCCCUUCUUCAAAACGACAGCGUUUCGUCUUAUUCUUUAAUAAUAAUAAAAGCGUUAAAUAAUAAAAGCGCGUUCACGCUUUCUCAAGUUGAACGACACCGUUUUAUUUACGGAUUUAAAAAUCCGUUUAUUCAGUUAUUACACCGUUCCGGCCGCUAUAUCGGCGUUCCGGUGAACCAUGGGUGUGGAAGGUCACAAUCUUCUCGCAGCGGGCUGCAAGUAGAAGGUAUUAUCCUUUCUCAUGCAGUCAUGCUUAUUGAUUAUCAGAAUAUUUACAACAAAAAUUAAUUUCCUAUUCUUGCUUGUUAACCCUAGAUUUGAUUUUACGCUCUGGUGUUGUAUUUGUAGAUUCAAUCCUGAAAUGUGGGCAUGAAAAUUGACGUAUGAUAUAGGAUUAUGUUAACAUAAACUUGCCAGUUGGUUCAUAUGUUUGUAUCGAAUUUAUGUUGCGUAAAUAUAUACCCGAUUUCUUCUCGUAGGAUGUGUAAUCGAGUACCUAGGUUAUCUAUUCAGGGAAUGCAGUUAUAUUGUUUUCCUUUCGGAGUCUCUUAGUUUGUACGUUGAAUAACCUUUUGCUUUUACUACUUGGGUAUCUGUAGAUACAUUUAUGUGAUUGGAAAAUGGAGCAGUUUGCAUGCUUGGAUGAAAGUCACCUGGAGGAUAUAACUCGGGUAAUUCGAUGCCUUUGGUUUUUUGACUAAGUAUAAGUAUUUAGCAAGUAAAACACUAAUAUCUUCCUUAUUCAACCUGAACAAACCUGAAAACGGAUAAAGGAAAAUAAAAAUAAAAAUAGAAGAGACUGGUUAGGAAGGACAAACUCAGCAGCUGUGUUGAAAGCUUUGCUAAUUCCAAUGUUUGGGAAGAUCUAUUUUCUAUUCGAUUGUGCCAUUUAUGAACUGGGCUAUCUAUUUGCUGUCAGAUUGUGCCAUUUAUGAUUUGCUUAAAUUAAUUUUUUUUUAAAACAGAGAUCACUGCUUUCAGUGACCGGUAUGCAGAGUUUGAAAAGUUGAACACAGAAGUCUUGGGUGUAUCUGUAGAUAGUGUGGUAAUUCUUAUCGACUCCCUUUCUUGUUUUUUCACUUAUAAAAUUAUAAAAUCAUCUUUGUGAUAUAAUAUACUCUUGUCAAACUUGUGCAGUAUUCCCACCUUGCAUGGAUCCAAACGGAAUGGAUAUCUUGUGAACUGGGUGAUUUGAACUAUCCGUUAGUUUCUGAUGUGACUAAAUCAAUAUCUGAAUCGUACAAUGUGCUGAUUCACGAUCAGGUAUGUGUUGUAAUAUCUUUGUUUAACGAUGAUAUAAAUUAUGACACAUUGUAAUUUGUUAGGCAGUUAUUCCAUGUUAUGAAAUCAAUUUAUAUGAUUCAUGUCCUCGUAUUUUCUUUACAUGAAUGAAAUGAAAGGUGUAAGAAAGACAAAGAAUGGUUGGCAUGAUUUGACCUAUUAAACAUCUUGUAUUACUUUAGUACAUUCUUGUAGGGCUUAAAAUGGAAUUGCAUGUCAAAUAUUGGGGUUGUUAAUUAAACUAUUUGACUUACGAGGGGCAGUAAACGCUGGUUCAUUUUGUUCGCGGCCGGUCAUCAAAGCAAGCUUGUUUCUGUUUCCGUUGAUAGAUUAAUGUAAAGACAUAAAUGAUGAUGAUGAUGAUGAUGAUGAUGAUGAUGAUGAUGAUGAUGAUGAUGAUGAUGAUGAUGAUGAUGAUGAUCAUUUAAUUUCGGUAUGUGGGAUCAGUUUUCUACGAUUUUAUUUUAUUUUAUUUUUAUUCGAUAAUCCAUAUACGGGUUUCUGAAGAGGUGUGUGUCGUUGCACAAUUUUAUAGUAGUUUUUGCUCAUAUAACUGCCAUUUUACGUUUCCUUUUAACUAUGUUAAUAGUUGGUGGUAGUUUCAUUCAUUAAUUAACAAUAGAUGAAAUGGACACUCAAGCCAAGGGAAUUUUACUAUUAGUGAAUCUGCAUUUCAUAUUUUACAUUUGUUCUAAUUGGAGUAGUUAUAGUUUUAGUUUCCUUUUAUUGCAAACAGUAUACAAGUUUCCUCCUAGGUAGCUCAAACUCAAUUGUUAGAUUUCUUUGUUUAAUUUUUCUUUUGACUAUAUCUCAUUUGUUUGUAUAUUACUCAAACGCAACAUGACUAGGUUUUCAACGACGAUUGGAAAAGUCGGAUUCUAGGGUGCAAUAAAUCACAAGUUGUGGUGCAUAAUACAUAUCGAAACCCUGAGGUAUGUCUCGUCUGAAUUUUGCCUAUUUGCAUCAUAUGUGAAUUUGAAUCAUCAUAUCCGUUUGCCUAAUUAGUCUGUAUAUUGUCAGUUUCCUACAGUUGUGGUAUCUUUGCUCUUCUCAAUCAAACUAUGGUGCACUACAUCAUUAACCAAACUAAUGAAAAAGGUAUGCUAUCUAAUUGGUGUUCCAUUAUCUUGAGAAUGUACUAGAUCCUCUUGACAAAAUGUGUGGGAACCUUGGUUAUUUUUAUAUAUAAAUUUUAAUUAAAUGGGGCCGUCGACUCCCCAAAUCUUAUUUAGUUGCGCUUUUAAGCCAAGGAUUCCAUCAUUUUGUUCGAGUUGUAACGAGCCUCUAGUACAUUAUCUUUUUAAUGGCACCCCAUCCUCUACUUAUUAUGUGCUUCCUUUUUUUUUUUUGUCAAAUAUGCCAAUUUUAAACUAAGUUAAAAAAAAAAUCAAAGUUUAACAUGUUUGGUUAAUUUAAAUUCUUGUAUGCUUAUGUGAUUUAUGUGGUGUUUGAUCAUGAGCCUAUAAUCCUUAUGUUGUUGGUAUAUAUUUUUUUUUUCUUUUUUUUUUCUUUUUUUCCGAUUUAUUGGUAAUGUAAACUUUCCCAUAUGUGAAGAUGGGAAUUUUGUAAUAGGUAGGCUAUGCAAAAUAUGUAAAAUAUACCACUAGAUCCAACCUUCGGCUCAAGGCUGGAUCACAUAAGGUAGGGCUCGUGAUCAUUCACAUUUUUUUUGGUUUUCUUUGUAUUUAAUGUUUCCAUGCCGUAAAUUCAAUUAGAAUAAAUUUUAAAAAUUUGUUGCUGAAGAAAUAGGCCCGCACGAACCAAGUAUGAAACUAAAACUACUAUUACUCUAUCACUAUUAUAUUAUAUAUAUUAUGAUUCUUAUUAUGUAUAAAUUAUGAAAAAACUAAUUAAUUUUCUAAAAUUGUUAAUAGAAGGAAAAUAUAUUAAUUUACUUUUAUCAAAGAAAUUACUUUUUAAAACAUGAAACUGCAAAUACAAGUUAAAUUAAUAUUUUCCUAUAUAGCCAAUUGUUACAUUAGUCAGUAAUUUGUUGGUGUCAAAUAUGAUUUGUUUGAAGUCAGUAAUUUUCGAAGUUUAACUUUGAUAGAAUAAUAGCGAACAAUUAUUUGCAGCAUAUGUUCAUUCCACAACUUAUAACUUUAAGGCCCGGUCCAUUAAGGAAAACUAAAAACUAAUUGCCAAAACCAACAAUAAAAAUCUGAGGACCUGCAACUGAUACGGCCAGAACAUGAAACGACCUGCGGAAGCCAGUUCACGCACAAAACCUGCGGCCCAACACAUUAGAAAACAAUUUUAGGCCAACACAUUUAUAUAACAUCUGGCCCAUAAAUGGAAAUCAGGACCCAAUUCACAAAAAAUAUGGACCCACAACAGCGGCCCUGCAGUACUGAAACACAAUAAAAAACAAAAAAUAGUGGCCCAUUGCCGAAUUCUCCGGAAAAUUUGAGGUCCAUUAUUUUAAAGUCGGGGCCCAAAGGACCAACAAUAAAUCGGGGCCCAGUUGAUGGAUAAAACCUUAGACUUAUUCAAUAAAUCCUGUCCGAUUAUUUACUUUUCCUUAUUUGUCCUUCAUUUUUUAAUUGGAUUAUUACUAUUGUUCAAAUGUUUUGCAAACGGUUAGCGGGAUAUUUAUAUUUUUUUGCAAAAUUGUUUUGCAAAUUGGUUAGCGUCUACUACAUUAUACUAUUUUUUGUAAUUUUGAUUAUUAAAACAAUAGUCAAUUGAUUUCAGCUGAUCUGUAUCUGAAUUCAUAUCAUAAAACAGUGUUCAAAUAUGCUACAAUAAAACACUUUCGAAUUUUAACAACUUCCAGCUACUCAAAAGAUAGUUAAUUUUCUAUUAAAUUAUAUAUUUUGAAUACACAUUUUAUACUGUGAAUGGUAACUUUUGCUUCAUUCUUCUCUACAGACCUUGUUCAGCUGAAACAAUAGAGUUUUCAUAAUUACGAUCACAUUGUUUGUCAUAGACUUAAACAUGUUAUAAUGCUUUUUGACGCUUAAGGUAUUAUUACGAUGAAAUGAGUUUUUUUUGUAUGAAGGUGCAGAAGUGUACAAAGACUUUUUAUAGUUGAAAAUGAUUACUAGUUUGUUUUACGGGUUUGAAUUGUUGUGCAGGCCAACAUAAACAACAUUUUAAACAAUUUGUACGGUUCACAAUUUUUUAAAAUUUAUUUUAAUUGAGUUUACGGCUUUGAAAUUUUACUUAAGCAUGGAAAAAUUAAAUACAAAGAAAACCAAAAAAAUUGUGAGUGAUCAUGAGCCCUACCUUAUGUGAUACAACCUUGAGCCAAAGGUUGGAUCUAGUGGUAUAUUUUACAUAGCCUACCUAUUACAAAAUUCCCAUCUUCACAUAUGGGAAAGUUUACAUUACCAAUAAAUCGAAAAAAAAAAAGAAAAAAAAAAGAUAGACCAACAACAUAAGGAUUAUAGGCUCAUGAUCAAACACCACAUAAAUCACACAAGCAUACAAGUAUUUAAAUUAACCAAUCAUGUUAAACUUUGAUUUUUUUUUUUUUUAAACUUAGUUUAAAAUUGGCAUAUUUGACAAAAAAAAAAAAAGGAAGCACAUACUAAGUAGAAGAUGGGGUGCCAUUAAAAAGAUAAUGUACUAGAGGCUCGUUACAACUCGAACAAAAUGAUGGAAUCCUUGGCUUAAAAGCGCAGGUAAUAAAAUUUGGGGAAUCGACGGCCCCAUUUAAUUAAAUUUAUAAAUAAAAAUAACCAAGGUUCCCACACAUUUUGUCAAGAGGAUCUAGUACAUUCUCAAAAUAAUGGAACACCACUUAGAAAGCAUACCUUUCUCAUUAGUUUGGUUAAUGAUGUAGUGCACCAGCCUUUGAUUGAUAAGAGCAAAGAUACGACAACUGUAGGAAACUGACAAUAUACGGAGUAAAUAGGCAAAUGGAUAUGAUUCAAAUUCACAUACGAUGCAAAUAGGCAAAAUUCAGACGAGACAUACCUCAGGGUUUCGAUAUGUGUUAUGCACCACAACUUGUGAUUUAUUGCACCCUAGAAUCCGACUUUUCCAAUCGACGUUGAAAACCUAAUCAUGUUGCGUGUGAGUAAUAUACAAACAAAUGAGAUAGUCAAAAGAAAAAAAUAAACUAAGAAAUCUAACAAUGAGUUUGAGCUACCUAGGUGGAAACCCGUAUACUAUUUGCAAUAAAAAAGCAAACUAAAACUAUAACUACUACUAUUAGUACAAAUGUAAAAUAUGAAUGCAGAUUCACUAGUAGUAAAAUAUGAGAGUGUCCAUUUCAUCUAUAGUUAAUUAAUGAAUGAACCUACCACCAACUACGAACAUUGUUAAGAGGAAACAUAAAAUUGCAGUUAUAUGAGCAAAAAUUAAUAUAAAAUUGUGCAACGACACACACCUCUUCAGAAACCCGUAUAUGGAUAAUGGAAUCAAAAAAAAAGAAAAAAAAAACAAAAAAAAAACCGUAGAAAAUAGAUCCCACCUACCGAAAUUAAAUGAUCAUCAUCAUCAUUUAUGUCUCCACAUUAAUCCAUCAACGGAAGCAGAAACAAGCUUGCUUUGAUGACCGGCCGCGAACUAAAUGAACCUACGUUUACUGCCCCUCGUAAGUCAAAUAUUUCAAUUAACAACCCCAAUAUUUGACAUGCAAUUCCAUUUCAAGGCCUACAAGAAUGUACUAAAAUAUUACGAGAUGUCUAAUAUGUGAAAUCAUGCCAACCUUUCUUUGUCUUUCUUGCACCUUUCAUUUCAUUCAUGUAAAAGAAAAUACGAGAACAACAAAUCAUACAAAUUGAAUUCAUAACAUGCUGAUUUUCCCAAGCAUUGGAAUUAGCAAAGCUAUCAAUACAGGGGUCAGCAUUCAAAUUAAACUGACUAAGGCUGCCUAACCAGUCAAAAAAAUGAAAGGCAUCCAAUUACCUGAGUUAUAUCCUCCAAGCAUGCAAACUGCUCCGCUCUCCUCAAAUCACAGAAAUGUAUCUACAGAUAUCCAAGUAGUAAAAGCAAAAUAUUAUUCAACAUACGAACUAAUAACUCCGAAAGGAAAACAAUAUAACUGCAUUCCCUGAAUAGAUAACCUAGGUACUUGAUUACAUAUCCUACGAGAAGAAAUCGGAUAUAUAUUUACGCAACAUAAAUUCGAUUCAAACAUAUGAACCAACUGGCAAGUUUCUGUGGACAUCCUAUAUCACUUGUCAAUUUUCAUGCCCAUAUUUCAAGAUUGAAUCUACGAAUACAACACCAGAGCGUAAAAUCACAUCUAGGUUAAAAAAGUUAAAACAUACUUUUAUUUUGCUGUGAAUAUUAUUAUAAUCAAAUAAACAUGAGAAAGGAUAAUACCUUCGACUAGCACCCCGCUGCGAGAAGAGUGUGACCUUCCCCACCAAAACAUCCAUGGUUCAACUUUUCAAACUCUGCAUACCGGUCACUGAAAGUAGUGAUCUCUGUUUAAAAAGAAUAAAAAAAUUAAUUUAAGCAAAUCAUAAAUCGCACAAUCGAACAGCAAAUAGAUAUCGCAGUUCAUAAAUGGCACAAUAGAAUAGCAAAUAGAUCUUCCCAAACAUUGGAAUUAGCAAAGCUUUCAAUACAGGGUCAGCAUUCAAAUUAAACUGACUACAGCUGCUGAGUUCUCUUGUAUUUUCAUUUUUAUUUACCUUUAUCCGUUUUCAGGUUUCUUCAGGUUGAAUAAGGAAGAUAUAGUGUUUUAGUUGCUAAAUACUUCUACUUAGUCAAAAAACCAAAGGCAUCGAAUUACCCGAGUUAUAUCCUCCAGAUGACUUUCCCCCAAGCAUGCAAACUGCUCCGUUCUCCAAUCACAGAAAUGUAUCUACAGAUACCAAGGUAGUAAAAGCAAAAGGUUAUUCAACGUACGAACUAAUAGACUCCGAAAGGAAAACAAUACAACUGCAUUCCCCGAAUAGAUAACCUAGGUACUCGAUUACAUAUCCUAGGAGAAGAAAUCGGAUAUAUAUUUACGCAACAUAAAUUCGAUGCAAACAUAUGAACCAACUGGCAAGUUUAUGUGAACAUAAUCCUAUAUCAUUUGUCAAUUUUCAUGCCCAUAUUUCAGGAUUGAAUCNNNNNNNNNNNNNNNNNNNNNNNNNNNNNNNNNNNNNNNNNNNNNNNNNNNNNNNNNNNNNNNNNNNNNNNNNNNNNNNNNNNNNNNNNNNNNNNNNNNNNNNNNNNNNNNNNNNNNNNNNNNNNNNNNNNNNNNNNNNNNNNNNNNNNNNNNNNNNNNNNNNNNNNNNNNNNNNNNNNNNNNNNNNNNNNNNNNNNNNNNNNNNNNNNNNNNNNNNNNNNNNNNNNNNNNNNNNNNNNNNNNNNNNNNNNNNNNNNNNNNNNNNNNNNNNNNNNNNNNNNNNNNNNNNNNNNNNNNNNNNNNNNNNNNNNNNNNAGGAGGAGAGUACAAGGCGAGGAAGGUGAUUGAGGAGGUAUGGUAGAGGGAACCGAUCUCGGCGGAUGAAGUGAUGUCGUAUAUUUUCAUGGUGUCGUCGUUUCCGCCGGCGACGGCGACGGCGAGGGUUUUGAUUGUAGAGAGGUGGGACGGAAAGGAGAAGAGUGGGGUUAGGGUUAAGGGAAUCGGGGUGUAACUGUAUUCUUCGUCGCGGUGGAAAUGGAGACUAUUUUACAUUACUUCUGAUCGCACUUUAGUUUUCAAAUGUUUCAUCUUAGUCCCCAAAUUUUAUGAUUUCUAUUCAAAUAAAGACAAAUAUUAAGAACUUACAAUUUAACCCCUAAAUUGAAAUUUUUCGCAUUUUUUUCACCUUUUGCAAAUUUGAAGGUUGUAAGGGGGUCGUUCUGCUAUUGAUAUAACAUUUUUUCUGUAUUGUAAUAUUAUUUUAUAAAUUGCUUCCAUAUCAAGCAUUGCCCAACAAGAGUCUCAAGGCGUUUUAAUAUUGUUCCCAUGUCGAGCAUCGCUGCCCGCGUAGGAUUCAUCGUAAGGAAGAAUUCGAAUCUUCCAUGUCGAAGAACACCGUUCAAAAUCCGAGAUUCGGGCUCUGAUAGCAACUGUUACAAGGGUAAACUUACAAUAAAAAAAAAAUCACCGUACGACCUGAUUUACAUAGGAACUUACACCAACUUACCGCCCCGUAACCAGUUGAGCUAUACCCACGUUGUCUUCUUUGCUUUUCCCAUAUAUCUCUUUUGGUUGUUAAUUUUUAUUUGAAUUUUUAUCGAAUUUUAAAAAUUUGUGACAAAUAAUUGAGCCGAUGCCAAACAAGCUUUGAGCUCGUGUAACUUGAAUUUUCUUUUCUUUAUGUUUUUUUUCCUUUCUAAUUGAACUCGAGUUGAGCUUCCUAGCUCAUCAAACAAAAAUUUACAUUCGAACUUGAUUCAUUGCGUUAAAGAACCAAACUCGAAUUAACUUUUACCGAUCAAUCUUGAAUCGAAUAGUUUUAUUUUUGACUUGGUUUUGUUUUGAGUUGUAUGUGAUAUAAAAGCAUAAAAAGCAUAAACACAAGAUUGUAGGAAUAAUUAUGUCAUUAGGACAUAAUUAGUAGUAGUAUAUAUUAUCACAAAGUAGGUCCCACAAAGAUGAAAAUAGCCCAUAUUUACAAUAACACCACUUACUAAAACUACGCCGUUUGCAAGUAUCGAUUCAUACCACAGAGAGACUCUGCAUUCUCACAAUCUUCCUCCAUUGGCAAAUCAUCCAAACUCUGAGUUGGUUGGCUCAACCCCCGGAAAAACUGCGCGAAAGCGGGAAAAUGCUCCGGCGAAAAGAAAUAAGCUCCCAUUCUCUGAUAAACGAACAAAUCCACCGCCGCGUCUUCACCCAACAAAUUCUUGUUCAUCUGCUCAAACCCAACCGGAGAACCCGAAACCAACGAAUUCUCCCCCGUUACUACAACCCCGUUUCUCUUGCAAGCGGAAGCACAUGAGUCGGNNNNNNNNNNNNNNNNNNNNNNNNNNNNNNNNNNNNNNNNNNNNNNNNNNNNNNNNNNNNNNNNNNNNNNNNNNNNNNNNNNNNNNNNNNNNNNNNNNNNUACAUUGGAUCUCCGACACGGAUUGAGUGGUGCGUUUACUUGGUGGUGAGAUGGAUAUCGUAGCUCACCGUUUGGUCCGAGACCUAUUGACAAGCCCUAUUGGAUAAAAGAAACAAACGGACUAAAUCAGAGUUUAUUCUAUGAUACACCAAGUGAAGUUUACAAAAUGAUAUAUAAUCGUACACGUGUGUAGGAAUGGAAAUCGGACGGAUCAGAUCGGAAUUAGCACUUCUGAAAAUUUUAGAUUUUUCUUUAGGAAGUGAAAAACUAAUUCCAAUUCCGUUUAAAAAUUGGAAAUGAAAAACUAGCUCCAACAACGGAUAUUUCUUUAUCGGAAUCGGUCGGAUUUCGGAAAAUUCCAAUUUUUUUAUUAACCUAAAAUAUCAAAUACAUAAUAAUUUGGUACUAUAAGUGUAUUUUUCGGGAGGAAAUCGUAAGUUUCAAAAAUUAAUUUUGGAAAUUAAAAUCAAAUUGAAAAUCGGAAUAUCAUAUGUAUUCCAAUUCCAUUCCAAUUUACACCCCUACACGUGUGUGUGUGUGUGUACCACGCAGUUUAGACACUUCUACUCCACAAAAAAAAUGAACUUACGGUGAUUGUGGAACCCAUGAAAGGCGAGAGCGAAGAUUUCAAGUUCUCGAAAAACGAUGCGUACACUUCAAGCGGAGUCUUUCCAUCCAAAACAGGAACAUCAUCCGCACCCAACGAUAGGCAAUCUUUGUAGCGACCCCCCGAUCGAUCCGUGAAGUAAAUGGACGGCUCAGAUUCACCGAUUCUCGAAACCCAUUGUGGGAGCGAAACUUUAGCUUCUUCGGAUGCAUGGAAACAAACGGAUAAAUGAAGCUUAAGACCCAAUUUUUGGACAAUUUCGAUAAUCGCAAGAUAACCUGUCCAAUUGUAUUCCCCCAUCGCCUCGUUUUCGACUAUCCCCCAAUAGAGUGGGAGCUCCACACCUUCCACACCUAAUAACUUCAAUGCCUUCAGCCCUGCUGCAAUUGCUCGAGCAUGGUUUAUUUUAUUCGAUUUCGAGAUCGUAUCCAACGGUAGACCAACGUAUAAUUUCGUGCUUUCAAUCUGCAAGAUAAUUGACACAAAAAUUAAUUAAUUAAUUAAUCUCUUUAUUGAUUUUUAAUAUCCACUCAUCAAUUUAGGACUGAAAAUCAAACCAAAUUACUUAAUCAAAACAUCAUAGAAACAGAGGAAAAAGGAAAUUAUACUAUAAUAAAAGAAAAUUACCUACCAUUUUUUAUAAACAAUAAAAUAAAAUAUUAAUAACCCAAAUAUCUAUAUAAUAUAAUAAAAGAAAAAUGAAGAAAAAAAAAAUUACUCACAGGCUCGGUGAUGUUUGAAGAUUCCUCAGAAACAACAGCUUGAUUCUGAGCAGAGGCAGAUGCUUUAAGACAGAAACCAACGGUGGAUCUUGAAGGACAAACUAGGGUUUGAUUCCGACCAAGAUUGCUGCUGCACGCCUUUGAAUUAUUGUAAUUCCUUGAAUUAAAUAACUUAAUAUUCGAAUUCCUGCUAAAGCUACAGUACCCAACAUCAAUUAUCCUCCCAACAUUCACCUGUGAGCUUCCAAUCACUGAAAUCUCCAUAGCUUUUGUAAAAAAUAUUAAAAAAAUUGGAUCUUUAGCCAAGAAAAAGCAAAAAGAUUGGAUUUUUUUUUUUUGAAUAUAAAAAAGAUUGAAAAUUUGGAGGGUAAUCAAGCUAAAACGAGGUAGAUUCCUCGAAAAAAUAAAAACCCAGAUGAGAAAAACUGUGUACGGGUAAUAAAAAUUGAAUCUUUAGCCAAGAAAAAGCAAAAAAGAUUGAAAUUUUUUUUUAUUUUUUUUUUAAUUUUUAAUGUAAGAAAGAUUGAAAAUUUGAAGGGUAUUUGGAUAAAACGAGGUAGAUUCCUCGAAAAAAAAGGCGAAAAAAUAUUAUAUUUGGAUAAGAAAGUGGAUGAAAUUAUGGAGAGGUGUAUUCCUCUUUAACGGGAUUCGAUUUGAAUCAAGAAAGAGAAAGAUAAAGAAUAAAGAAGGAUUGAUUUCUUGUUGUGAAAUGGUGAGAGAAUGUUGAAAUAGAAUGGAGAAAUAUGAUGCAGAUAUAUAGGAAUGGUAUGAAUUGUUUGUAUGGUAGAAGAGAAAAGUGCUGCAUUGGACACGUGUCGUGCUUUGAUUGAAAGAAAAGCCAGCCGCAUAAU
rnacentral:lncRNA from 1 species